rnacentral:rRNA from 1 species
GACGAACGCUGGCGGCGUGCUUAACACAUGCAAGUCGAGCGGAAAGGCCACUUCGGUGGUACUCGAGCGGCGAACGGGUGAGUAACACGUGAGUAAUCUGCCCCUGGCUUUGGGAUAGCCACCGGAAACGGUGAUUAAUACCGGAUACGACCACUUCUCUCAUGGGAUGGUGGUGGAAAGUUUUUUCGGGCAGGGAUGUGCUCGCGGCCUAUCAGCUUGCUGGUGAGGUAAUGGCUCACCAUGGCUUCGACGGGUAGCCGGCCUGAGAGGGUGACCGGUCACACUGGGACUGAGACACGGCCCAGACUCCUACGGGAGGCAGCAGUGGGGAAUAUUGGACAAUGGGCGGAAGCCUGAUCCAGCAACGCCGCGUGAGGGAUGACGGCCUUCGGGUUGUAAACCUCUUUCAGCAGGGACGAAGCGCAAGUGACGGUACCUGCAGAAGAAGCACCGGCCAACUACGUGCCAGCAGCCGCCGUAA